ACAGCCAGGAUUUUGAGACAGAGUCUGGCUCUGUCGCCCAGGCUGCAGUGCAAUAGCGCAAUCUUGGCUCACUGCAACUUCCUCCUCCUGGAUUCAAGCGAUUCUCCCGCCUCAGCCUCCCGAGUAGCUGGGAUUACAGGAGUGCGCCACCACGCCCGGCUAAUUUUUGUAUUUUUAGUAGAGCUGAGGUUUCACCAUGUUGGCCAGGACCAACCAUGUUGGUCAGGAGUCUUGGACUCCUGACCUCAGGUGAUCCUUCUACCUUGGCCUCCCAAAGUGCUGGGAUUACAGGCGUGAGUCACCGCACCCAGCUGCCAAGAGCCAGGAUUUGAAAUCAGACUGUCUGGCUCCAGAUCCCAGGCUCUCAAGCACUUUCAAUAAUAACAAUGAUAACAAUAAUACCUACUCUACUGUGCGAAGACUGUGUGCCUAACCCCGGGCUUGGGGCCAUUUCAUCAGCUCUGCCUGAUGCUGUGAAGCAGAUUGCCAGGCCUGUUGUCCAGGGGUAGACUGAGGAUCAGAGAAGGGAGGCCCCUUGCUGGGGGCUACCUGGUCGUCAUAACUUGUCCAGUGCCUGUCCUGGCAGUUCUGAGGAGCACCUCCCUAACAACACCCAUGCUGAGGUAUCCAGGCCGCCUUCAGGUUCCUGAACAGCCGGCCCUUUCAUUCUUCUCCCAGAGGCCUCCCUAAGCCCUUGGGAGGUAGGCAGCUUGCAGCCUUCUCCCCACGGGGCCCAGAUAGGGCAGACCAUGUUCAGUGGUAUAGUAAGGUUGCAGGCUUCGUCCCUUCUGCUGGCCCGUGCCAGGGCCUGACCCUCCAUCAGAGGGCAGCAGGUGUGAGGGGGCGGCCCAGGGCAGCCUGCCUGCUCCUGCCCCCAGCCAGGCAUUUGCUUCCGCUGGGGGACUUGCUGGGGCAGGCGGCUGGCAUUCUCCACAUUCUGCGCAUGGCAUGGCCAGCCAGCUGCCGUUGCCACCUCCCUCUGACUCUUCCCACCUGCUCCCCAGGAGAGGAUCCCGCCCCAGGGCCUGCAGCCCCAGUCCAGGAGGCCAGAUGUCUCAGCCCCAUUCCUGGUAUGGCCUCCCUCCCGGCUCCCAGCUUCCUGCCUGGCUUCCCCUUAUUGACGGGCAUUGUUUCUUGUCCUGGGCCUCUGUCUGGCAGUCUGGCUCUGUCUGUCUGUCUUAUCCUUGGCUUGCUCUAUCUCUGGUCUCUAUUUCUAGGUCGAUACGUGUGUCUCUUUUGGGACCUCUAUCUGUCUGACUCUUCUUUGAGUCUGGGGGCUCCCUAUGUCUUCCUGGGUUUGUCUGUCUCUAGACUUCAGUCCUUGUCUGAGCUUUCAGCCCACCCUCCUUCUGUUUUGGCUGCCAGUCUUGGCAUCCUGUGUCUCUGGGCCAGCCUUGGCUUCUCUUUGGCCCUCCCACUCCCACUCUUUGGAUGGACUUGCUGCCCCCAUGCCAGCCUCCCAGCCCCACCCUGUGCAUAUCAGGUGUUCUAUUCUUUUAAGACAGUGGGCAGUUGCCAAGCACCAGGUCUCCUACUUCCUUCUUGGGGAGUGUUGGGAGGUUGUCCAGGCCGGGGAGUCCCCUCAUGCUCUUUGACAAAUUAACUGCCUACUACUGUCCCUGAAAUCUGUUGAGAAGUGUUGAGAUCCAUCCUGCAGACCCAUCCACCAUCCAAACACCUGUUCCCAAGACAGGCAGGAAGGCAGGGGCUAUAUGGACCAAGCUAGGAGAUCCGGCUGUGGGGGGCGGCAGGAAAGAAGCUUCUGUGCCCACCCACGUGCUAGAGGGCAUGACCCAGGUCACCCUACCUCCCCCGCUACCCCUUGCCUUUCAUUUGAUGCCAGCUUCAUUGAAACGAGUCUCAGAUAUAGUGCACCCCAAUGGGUAGGGCCUCAGAGACCAGGCAGUACCCACCAACUAUGCUUGGGCAGGUGGGGAAAAAGAGGGGCCAGAGGGGUUAAGCCUGGGUCUCCUGACUCCCCAGAUCCAGGUACUGCC
ensembl:lncRNA